UUAAGCGACUAAGCGUACACGGUGGAUGCCCUGGCAGUCAGAGGCGAUGAAGGACGUGCUAAUCUGCGAAAAGCGCCGGCGAGGUGAUAUGAACCUUUGACCCGGCGAUGUCCGAAUGGGGAAACCCAGUGUGUUCCGACACACUAUCGUUAACUGAAUACAUAGGUUAACGAGGCGAACCGGGGGAACUGAAACAUCUAAGUACCCCGAGGAAAAGAAAUCAACCGAGAUUCCCCCAGUAGCGGCGAGCGAACGGGGAGCAGCCCAGAGUCUGAAUCAGCUUGUGUGUUAGUGGAAGCGUCUGGAAAGUCGCACGGUACAGGGUGACAGUCCCGUACACGAAAGCACACAGGUUGUGAACUCGAAGAGUAGGGCGGGACACGUGGUAUCCUGUCUGAAUAUGGGGGGACCAUCCUCCAAGGCUAAAUACUCCUGACUGACCGAUAGUGAACCAGUACCGUGAGGGAAAGGCGAAAAGAACCCCGGCGAGGGGAGUGAAAUAGAACCUGAAACCGUGUACGUACAAGCAGUGGGAGCACCUUCGUGGUGUGACUGCGUACCUUUUGUAUAAUGGGUCAGCGACUUAUAUUCUGUAGCAAGGUUAACCGUAUAGGGGAGCCGAAGGGAAACCGAGUCUUAACUGGGCGUUAAGUUGCAGGGUAUAGACCCGAAACCCGGUGAUCUAGCCAUGGGCAGGUUGAAGGUUGGGUAACACUAACUGGAGGACCGAACCGACUAAUGUUGAAAAAUUAGCGGAUGACUUGUGGCUGGGGGUGAAAGGCCAAUCAAACCGGGAGAUAGCUGGUUCUCCCCGAAAGCUAUUUAGGUAGCGCCUCGUGAACUCAUCUUCGGGGGUAGAGCACUGUUUCGGCUAGGGGGCCAUCCCGGCUUACCAACCCGAUGCAAACUACGAAUACCGAAGAAUGUUAUCACGGGAGACACACGGCGGGUGCUAACGUCCGUCGUGAAGAGGGAAACAACCCAGACCGCCAGCUAAGGUCCCAAAGUCAUGGUUAAGUGGGAAACGAUGUGGGAAGGCACAGACAGCCAGGAUGUUGGCUUAGAAGCAGCCAUCAUUUAAAGAAAGCGUAAUAGCUCACUGGUCGAGUCGGCCUGCGCGGAAGAUGUAACGGGGCUAAACCAUGCACCGAAGCUGCGGCAGCGACACUAUGUGUUGUUGGGUAGGGGAGCGUUCUGUAAGCCGUUGAAGGUGUGCUGUGAGGCAUGCUGGAGGUAUCAGAAGUGCGAAUGCUGACAUAAGUAACGAUAAAGCGGGUGAAAAGCCCGCUCGCCGGAAGACCAAGGGUUCCUGUCCAACGUUAAUCGGGGCAGGGUGAGUCGACCCCUAAGGCGAGGCCGAAAGGCGUAGUCGAUGGGAAACAGGUUAAUAUUCCUGUACUUGGUGUUACUGCGAAGGGGGGACGGAGAAGGCUAUGUUAGCCGGGCGACGGUUGUCCCGGUUUAAGCAUGUAGGCGGAACGAUUAGGUAAAUCCGGUCGUUUAUUAACGCUGAGGUGUGAUGACGAGGCACUACGGUGCUGAAGUAACAAAUGCCCUGCUUCCAGGAAAAGCCUCUAAGCAUCAGGUAACAUCAAAUCGUACCCCAAACCGACACAGGUGGUCAGGUAGAGAAUACCAAGGCGCUUGAGAGAACUCGGGUGAAGGAACUAGGCAAAAUGGUGCCGUAACUUCGGGAGAAGGCACGCUGAUAUGUAGGUGAAGCCCCUGCGGGUGGAGCUGAAAUCAGUCGAAGAUACCAGCUGGCUGCAACUGUUUAUUAAAAACACAGCACUGUGCAAACACGAAAGUGGACGUAUACGGUGUGACGCCUGCCCGGUGCCGGAAGGUUAAUUGAUGGGGUUAGCGGCAACGCGAAGCUCUUGAUCGAAGCCCCGGUAAACGGCGGCCGUAACUAUAACGGUCCUAAGGUAGCGAAAUUCCUUGUCGGGUAAGUUCCGACCUGCACGAAUGGCGUAAUGAUGGCCAGGCUGUCUCCACCCGAGACUCAGUGAAAUUGAACUCGCUGUGAAGAUGCAGUGUACCCGCGGCAAGACGGAAAGACCCCGUGAACCUUUACUAUAGCUUGACACUGAACACUGGUCCUUGAUGUGUAGGAUAGGUGGGAGGCUUUGAAGCGUGGACGCCAGUCUGCGUGGAGCCGUCCUUGAAAUACCACCCUUUAAUGGCUGGUGUUCUAACGUAGACCCGUAAUCCGGGUUGCGGACAGUGUCUGGUGGGUAGUUUGACUGGGGCGGUCUCCUCCCAAAGAGUAACGGAGGAGCACGAAGGUUAGCUAAUCCUGGUCGGACAUCAGGAGGUUAGUGCAAUGGCAUAAGCUAGCUUGACUGCGAGAGUGACGGCUCGAGCAGGUGCGAAAGCAGGUCAUAGUGAUCCGGUGGUUCUGAAUGGAAGGGCCAUCGCUCAACGGAUAAAAGGUACUCCGGGGAUAACAGGCUGAUACCGCCCAAGAGUUCAUAUCGACGGCGGUGUUUGGCACCUCGAUGUCGGCUCAUCACAUCCUGGGGCUGAAGUAGGUCCCAAGGGUAUGGCUGUUCGCCAUUUAAAGUGGUACGCGAGCUGGGUUUAGAACGUCGUGAGACAGUUCGGUCCCUAUCUGCCGUGGGCGCUGGAGAAUUGAGGGGGGCUGCUCCUAGUACGAGAGGACCGGAGUGGACGCAUCACUGGUGUUCGGGUUGUCAUGCCAAUGGCACUGCCCGGUAGCUAAAUGCGGAAAAGAUAAGUGCUGAAAGCAUCUAAGCACGAAACUUGCCCCGAGAUGAGUUCUCCCUGAGACUUUAAGUCUCCUGAAGGAACGUUGAAGACGACGACGUUGAUAGGUCGGGUGUGUAAGCGCAGCGAUGCGUUGAGCUAACCGAUACUAAUGAACCGUGAGGCUUAACCUU
rnacentral:rRNA from 1 species